rnacentral:lncRNA from 1 species
GAACGUUGCAUUAAUCAUAUUGAUUGGAUGUGCGUUUGUCUUGUCCAGCUUUCCGUUUUUCUGAGAUUCCCUGGCUUUAAGUGGCGCCCGCACAGGGACUCAGGAGGCUCCGAGAAGGCUGCCAAAUUACUUUUAGAGUAACGGGCAGUCAGGUUUGAGUCGCGCGACAGGAAUUUAGGUCCAAAUCGCCUCAUGGUGACGGGACCGGGAUCCCAAAUUCACUUUUUGUGAACGGGGAUCAGGUAGAACGGAGCAGAAGUCUCCAAACUCCGAAUUGGGCCGUUUCCCAACGGGAGGAAAAAGACUCUUCGCAUUGUUGUUUGCUUGCGAGAGUCCGUUGGAGCAGUGGGAAGACCUCGGUGUUCACAAGGUACCUGAACGGCGGGUGUGGACGUGGCCGGGGCCGGAGAGCUGGAGCGGGGGUGCCGCCUUGCCGAAGAAAAGCGAGAGCGAAGCAACCCGCGGAGACUGAGAGCGGGGCCAGGCAGAGCGGGGCCAGGCAGAGCGGGGCCGGCCAGCACCGAGCCUGAGGCGGCCCCGGGGCGGAGCGGACUUCGGCCGAGACACAGAAGGUUCCUUGUUGCUGAGCAACAGCGCAAGGGUGGAGACGGGCAUUCCCCGGGGCUCGGCCGCGCUGGAGUCGGAGCAGGCGGGGCGCGGCCGCAUCAGGAGCGUCUCCUCGCCCGUCCCCACAGUGACGCAGCAAGGACGGGAGCGAGACGGCACCGUCCCGUUCCCCCCCCCCCCCUUUCCCCCCCCCCCCCGCAGCGCCCAGCAAUGGUGGCGGAGGCGCUGCACAGCCUGGUUGCCAUGGUAACAACGACGCCGGGAGCAGCAGUGCCACCGAUGGCGAGAUGGCAACACUACAGCAAAAAUUUCAACAGCAUUUUUCUAAUUCCUUGCAAGAGACAAAAGACGUAAUGAAAAAGUAUAGCAAUACUGAGUGUUUUCCAAGAUACCAAGAAGGAUGGACAUUAUGCAAAUCAAAGUUAUUUCAAAUACAAUGUGGAUGAAAAUUCCUGUAAAACAAAAAAAGGAUAGAAAUGUUAAUAAUUAUUUAAUUGCUAAAAAUGUCUUUGAAAGCAAAGAUUUGAGAAAAAUCAGUCAAAUGGAAUGUUGGUAUUAAGUUCACAAUUUCUGUUUUUGAGAUUUUAUAAAUAAUAAUAUAAGUAAUUAUGAUUUUUGAGUUUUGUAGAUAAUAAGAUAAAUGAUAAUUGUCAAGUUUUUGUAGGUAAUGAUAAAUAGUAAUGAUUGUUACUAAUGUUAUAUGAAUGCUUGACAAGAUUGUUUUAAACUAUUUUAAACAUUUUUUGUUAAUAGGUUGAUCAUAUAAUGUAAGUUGUCUGAUUUUUGUGAUAAGAAUUAUUAUUAAGAUGUUAAGGUAUUGAGAUGUUGUUUUAAUAUUUACAGUCAGUUUUCAUAUGUUUUAUGGGGGUUUUUUUUUUAGGUGAUUGAUUGUGAGAUGUAUUUUUCAGGAUCCUGUGUGCUUGAUUUUUUAACUACUCAUGUGUUUUCUUUAUUCAAUUUUCUAUGCAGCUGCAGUUCAUCUUUUAAAAAUUUAUAGUCCAAGUUCUGGUUCAAGAUUUCAGACUUCAAAUUCUCAGAUUUUUGAAGAAAAGGUUUGUUGUAUUUAGAGAAUUUUUGUCUUGAAACAAAUUUUAGACAGGUUCAAUCAUUUGAUGUUUUGAUAAAUUGUUAAUAAUAAGGUUUUUCACUUAUAACUGUUAUUUUUAAGACUUUUGUUUUAAACAUAUCCUCCAAUUAGAGUUUGAGCUCUGGCCAGGCUCUGGCUCUACGUGGAUGAUGUGAUUGAUCCAGGUGUUUUCUGCAUCACAAAAGUAUUCAAGUCCUUUUGGCUUGACAAUUUGACCAUACAGGACAGCUGAGCCUCAAAGGAGGUUUUGGAGAGACAUGAUCCGGACAUGUUUUAUCCAAAUCUCUGUUGUUUUAAGGUUUUUCAGCUGCUGCAGACUCUGGGAUGACAAUUUGAUAGUGUAGCACUUGGUAACUGUGAUUUUAUAUGUAAUAUUGAUUGUGUAUUAUUUGAUUGAUUUUUAUUUGUUGUUAGUUUCUUUCCUAUAUGCAUUGUUUUGUUCUUAAUGUUUUUCAUGUUUAUAACAAAGAUGUUGAUAUUUCCAUUUCUUCACGCAAGUUUUAGGGAACAGAAUUGAGAGAGGACCCUCCAGUCCCUGUGGGAGUGUUGGGUUUGUUUGUGUUUUAACAGGUGCAGAAUCAAAAUGGAUUUCAGUGAAGGAUGUGGAACUUCUCAAUUGCAAGAGGACACUGAUCUCUCCACAAGUGGAUCAGAGGAUGCACAGCAAAAGUGGAUUGUGCAAAGAUUUGUGUUUCACCCACAGAAGAUCGUGGGCUUUGAGUUUUUUUUUUAUAAGUGUGUUUUUAAUGAUGUUAUAGAAUUUUUUUUUGCUAAGUUUUUAAUAAGUUUUAGUAAUGCCUGUGAUUUUUCUGUUCAUCUUGCCAUUGUCUUUCAAUGGCAAAAGAAAAAGAGGGAGGUCCCAACGGGGAUCAGCAGAAAUUCUACUUGAGUGAGUGUUUUUACCCAUCCAACCAAGAAGUCGUGUGAUGGACAGGACAGAUGCUCUUGCUGCAUUGAUACGAAAAGGCAGAAACAGAAUUUUAAAAAUAGAUGAAACAGAAAAAUAAGUUGAAAUAUCAUAAGUGUGAAGUUAGAUUUAUCAGAAGUUAGUUUAUUAGAAGUUAUAGUUUAUGUUUAGAAUUAAGAUUGUUUCUUUCAUGUUAGACAGGGCAUUCAAGAACCUGAGAAGAAUGUGGUGGGCCUCAAUGUUUUUAUUUCGUACUUGUUUAAUUUUUGGAGUCUCGUUGGGUCCCAUGGCAGAGUUCAAGACUUGGACCUGAGCUCAAAUAAGUUUAAAUAGCACUCUGGGAGCGCAAGCUGUUGCAUUUGUGCAAAACCUUAAAUUUACUGAUGAUAGUUUUCAAGAAUUUGGUCUUUUGGGUUCUGUCCCAGGAAAUUACUGUUUGAUAUUUGGAUCUUAUGCUACCAAACCAACUCAAGAAAAUGGAAAAUUGACAGAUGACAACACUUGAUUGUCUCCCAGAUCACCAUUGUAAUACAACUAUUUAGAAUAUUGUAACAAUUCGACUCAAUCUGUGACACCGCCAAGAGGUAGUGCAGGAAAACUGCCCCCAGGAACCUUCCUCAUUUGUGGGGACCGAGCCUGGUCAGCAGUCCCUCAAAAUGCUAGGGGAGGCCCAUGUUAUAUCGGUAGGUUGAUGCUUUUUGCUCCCACCAUACAUCAGGUUCUCGAAUUGCCUCCGAAGACUCAACGAGCCAAACGCAGUGUUCUCCAAAUGGACACUUCAUUUGAUAACUGGCUCAAUUCUUCAGGGUUUUCUGGCUG